GGGCUCGGCUCCCGGGCAUACCCCCACUUCUGCGCCUUUGCUCGUGCGGUGGACACACGGCUGGAGGAACUGGGCGGGGAGCGGCUGCUGCAGCUGGGCCAGGGCGACGAGCUGUGCGGCCAGGAGGAGGCCUUCCGAGGCUGGGCCCAGGCUGCCUUCCAGAACACAAUGAGGUGUAAAGAUGGGGAAACUGAGGCAUGUCACUGUAAGUACGGGAUUCGGAAUUUGAAUGCAGGUCUGAACACACAGACGCCUUCACAGAGCUACCGUGUGCCAAGCACUAUGCUUCUCGGAUCACGGGAUUAACACGCACCAGAUAAGGAACGAUGCACCAAUCAGGACGUG
rnacentral:lncRNA from 1 species